ACCAGACUCCUACGGGAGGCAGCAGUGGGGGAUAUUGCACAAUGGGGGGAACCCUGAUGCAGCGACGCCGCGUGGGUGAAGGAGUGCUUCGGCAUGUAAAGCCCUAUCGGCAGGGAAGAAGCAAGACGGUACCUGACUAAGAAGCCCCGGCUAACUACGUGCCAGCAGCCGCGGUAAUACGUAGGGGGCAAGCGUUAUCCGGAUUUACUGGGUGUAAAGGGGGCGUAGACGGCGAUGCAAGCCAGAUGUGAAAGCCCGGGGCUCAACCCCGGGACUGCAUUUGGAACUGUGUGGCUGGAGUGUCGGAGAGGCAGGCGGAAUUCCUAGUGUAGCGGUGAAAUGCGUAGAUAUUAGGAGGAACACCGGUGGCGAAGGCGGCCUGCUGGACUGCGACUGACGUUGAGGCCCGAAAGCGUGGGGAGCAAACAGGAUUAGAUACCCCAGUA
rnacentral:rRNA from 1 species